GACCAUGUCACGCGUUAGUAUCAUUUCUUUCCCCUUCACCGCAAAACCCUAUUUCUCUUUCCCUCUCUUGUUUUUUCUUUUUCUGGAGAUGCAGUUGGUGGUGUGAAUUUUCCUCCAUGUUUCGCUCUCUCUUCUUUAGAUGUUGUUCGAUUCUUAUUCCGUUCCUCCACAAGCUAGGGUUAUAUACUUUACUCUUUAAGACAGAAACUUAAACCAGAGUAUAUCGGCCUUUCUGGAAACAAAAUUAAGAAUUUGAAGUUGUCUGGUGUGGAGAUAACAUACACUUUGACAGAACCAGAGAUUAUUUUCACAGGAGACACCAUGUCAGAUUUCAUAGUUGAUGAAAAUAACACUGAUGUCUUGCGGGCUAGAGUUCUUGUAUUGGAGUGCACCUUUGUUAACAAUUCAAUUACUGUGGAACAUGCCAAAGAUUAUGGACACAGUCACCUGUAUGAGAUAAUAAGUUAUGCUGAGAGGUUACAGAACAAAGCAAUCCUUUUGAUUCAUUUUUCAGCGCAUUACACAGUAGAGGUAUGACCGUAUGACAUUAUUGUUUUGUCCCUAAAAAAAUGUAUUUGAGCAAGUUGAGUUCCUGGGCUAUGGACAAAGCCUCUGUACCGAAUAAGUCGACGAUGAACACUGAAGGACGAACAGUCACGUUUUGGGUCUGCAAGAUGUUAAGGCUGAAGAAGAGAAUGUGAUGAAGCUUUUGUCUGAUUUGGCUCAUGCUCUUGGUAUGAACUAUGUCUUUGCUGAAAGCUGGGCACCCGAAUACGGCAACGCCGUUUUGUCCAAGUGGCCCAUCAAACGAUGCAAAGUUCAGAAAGUUUUAAUUCACACUAAUUUCAGUUGUGAAGGCAUAUCAAUACACAUCACUUACAAGUGUGAUGCUGCUUGACUGCUGGUCAAUUCCAUCCGUCAUGCUUCUUUCUUACAAGUAUGUUGUAAGCAAGAAAAAUUGUGUACUCCAUUUUAUUUACUCAUGAAUAGAAAAAAAAAUGUAUUGUGUUAAAUUGUGUACUCCAUUUUAUUUUAUUAU